rnacentral:rRNA from 1 species
AGCGUGCGGGCGAUACGGGCAGACUAGAGUACUGCAGGGGAGACUGGAAUUCCUGGUGUAGCGGUGGAAUGCGCAGAUAUCAGGAGGAACACCGGUGGCGAAGGCGGGUCUCUGGGCAGUAACUGACGCUGAGGAGCGAAAGCGUGGGGAGCGAACAGGAUUAGAUACCCUGGUAGUCCACGCCGUAAACGGUGGGUACUAGGUGUGGGUUUCCUUCCUUGGGAUCCGUGCCGUAGCUAACGCAUUAAGUACCCCGCCUGGGGAGUACGGCCGCAAGGCUAGAACUCAAAGGAAUUGACGGGGGCCCGCACAAGCGGCGGAGCAUGUGGAUUAAUUCGAUGCAACGCGAAGAACCUUACCUGGGUUUGACAUGCACAGGACGCGUCUAGAGAUAGGCGUUCCCUUGUGGCCUGUGUGCAGGUGGUGCAUGGCUGUCGUCAGCUCGUGUCGUGAGAUGUUGGGUUAAGUCCCGCAACGAGCGCAACCCUUGUCUCAUGUUGCCAGCGGGUAAUGCCGGGGACUCGUGAGAGACUGCCGGGGUCAACUCGGAGGAAGGUGGGGAUGACGUCAAGUCAUCAUGCCCCUUAUGUCCAGGGCUUCACACAUGCUACAAUGGCCGGUACAAAGGGCUGCGAUGCCGUAAGGUUAAGCGAAUCCUUUUAAAGCCGGUCUCAGUUCGGAUUGGGGUCUGCAACU